rnacentral:rRNA from 1 species
AUGACCCACAUAUCAGAUAUUAAACUGAUAAAAACAGAUACUACACUUGAUCUUAGCCAAAAGGCCGAGAAAGGUAUGAGUUGGGGUGCUGCCCUGCCUAUUUAUUUGUAG